rnacentral:rRNA from 1 species
UACGUAGGGGGCUAGCGUUGUCCGGAUUUAUUGGGCGUAAAGAGCUCGUAGGCGGUCUGUCGCGUCUGCUGUGAAAUCCCGAGGCUCAACCUCGGGCUUGCAGUGGGUACGGGCAGGCUAGAGUGCGGUAGGGGAGAAUGGAGCUCCUGGUGUAGCGGUGGAAUGCGCAGAUAUCAGGAAGAACACCGAUGGCGAAGGCAGUUCUCUGGGCCGUAACUGACGCUGAGGAGCGAAAGCGUGGGGAGCGAACAGG